rnacentral:piRNA from 1 species
UGCAAUUGGAAAGCCUGUGGGGU